AACACUCCGUUUUUCUCAAUUAGAGAAGAUCCACGACCUCACGUUAUAGUUUUCGUUUCACGGACUAGUUUUUUUUUUUUUUUUUUUUUUUUUUUUUUUUUUUUUUUUUCUUCUUUUCGCUCUCUCUUUCUUGUCUGAUAAGAAUAGAACUCCAUGCCUUUAUGAACCUUCCCACCCUAGAAUUUGCGUCGUUCUGGGAUACAAUUUCCGUUGCACCGUUUUUUCAGAGUUCAGAUGCGCCAUAUGGUUUUGUCGCACGCUUAGUCAGAAUCAAGAAUAACUGGAGUAAGGCAAUCGUUUAAUACUCUGCACCAUUUGCUUAAUGCGCAUCAAUAAUCUAUGGAAAAGGUGUUCGUGCUACGUUACGUGGGAAUAACGACAAGGGAUGAAUUUGGUUAAAGAAAGAAUUAGUGUUUGGAGUGGAAAGUUAGAGUAUAUUGAAGGUAGAUACUUUGAGAGCAUUUGAUGGGGGUAUGAGCAACUGGGAAGAUAUGUAGUGUGGGGAAUCUGCAUUUAGUGGCCCUUGUUCUUGUAUAAUAUUGUCCAAACAUGGAAUAAUAUUCUCAUCACUUGAAGUCCACUUCCAUAAAAGUAAUGCUUACAAAUUCGCCAACCUUCCAUAAAAUUUUUUGUUGUUUUAGCUCAGAAGUAUAUCGAGAACUCUAAGCCAGAACAUUUAAUGGUUUUUUUUUUAUUAUUAUUGUCACCCCUGUUUAAUCUAUUGUUUAGAGUUUAAAUCCAAUGUAUUUGUAAGUACAAACACUCUUUUUAAUAUUAUUAAGAGUAACUUAAAUGUCUUAAUGACAUUA